CGCACCUUGCGCUCCUUGGUAUUCCGAGGAGCAUGCCUGUUUGAGUGUCAUGGUAUUCUCAACCCCUCUCGCGCUUUUGUGGUGUGAGGGUGGGCUUGGACUUGGAGGUCUCAUGCCGGUCGCUCUCGUUUUGCGGCUGGCUCCUCUGAAACGCAUUAGCUUGAACGUGUCGUGCUUGCGCACAACACACCAGGCAUGGUUUCAGCGUGAUAAAAUAUCUGCGCUGUUCUCAUGGUUGUUUCAGGCUUACAAAACUGAAAAAAAAGCGCUUGUCGUCUUUUUUUCAUUCUGAACAUCUGACCUCAAAUCAGGUAGGACUACCCGCUGAACUUAA
rnacentral:misc_RNA from 1 species